rnacentral:rRNA from 1 species
UACGUAGGGUGCAAGCGUUGUCCGGAAUUAUUGGGCGUAAAGAGCUCGUAGGUGGCCUGUCGCGUCGGCUGUGGAAACUCGGGGCUCAACUCCGAGCUUGCAGUCGAUACGGGCAGGCUAGAGUGCGGUAGGGGAGAUUGGAAUUCCUGGUGUAGCGGUGGAAUGCGCAGAUAUCAGGAGGAACACCGAUGGCGAAGGCAGAUCUCUGGGCCGUAACUGACGCUGAGGAGCGAAAGCAUGGGGAGCGAACAGG